rnacentral:rRNA from 1 species
UACGGAGGGUGCAAACGUUGCUCGGAAUCAUUGGGCGUAAAGCGCACGUAGGCGGCCCGGUAAGUCGGAUGUGAAAGCCCUUGGCUCAACUGAGGAAGUGCAUUCGAAACUGCCAGGCUUGAAUAUGGAAGAGGGUCGCGGAAUUCCCGGUGUAGAGGUGAAAUUCGUAGAUAUAGGAAGGAACACCAGUGGCGAAGGCGACCACCUGGACUGAUACUGACACUGAGGUGCGAAAGCGUGGGGAGCAAACAGG